CUAAAACGUCCGUAGCCUGUCUGAUACAUUUGUGGGUAAAUCAACCAGCUCAACUGGUUGAAUUCUGCGAAGACGGCCAGACUUGGGACCGGGAGAGGUGUGGGGUACUCUCAGGGUAGGGGUAAAAUCCUGUCAUCCUGAGAGGACCACCUGUUGCGAAGGCGCCACACUGGAACGGAUCCGACGGUCAGGGACGAAGCCUAGGGGCACGAACCGGAUUAGAUACCCGGGUAGUCCUAGGUGUAAACGCUGUGAACUUGAUGUUGGGGGUGCUCCGAGGGCCCCCGGUGCCGAAGCGAAGGUGAUAAGUCCACUGCCUGGGAAGUACGGUCGCAAGGCUGAAACUUAAAGGAAUUGGCGGGGGA
rnacentral:rRNA from 1 species